rnacentral:rRNA from 1 species
ACAGCUCAAAUUUGAAAUCUGGCCCUAGGCCCGAGUUGUAAUUUGCAGAGGAUGCUUUUGGCGCGGUGCCUUCCGAGUUCCCUGGAACGGGACGCCAUAGAGGGUGAGAGCCCCGUCUGGUUGGACACCAAGCCUUUGUAAAGCUCCUUCGACGAGUCGAGUAGUUUGGGAAUGCUGCUCAAAAUGGGAGGUAUAUGUCUUCUAAAGCUAAAUACCGGCCAGAGACCGAUAGCGCACAAGUAGAGUGAUCGAAAGAUGAAAAGCACUUUGGAAAGAGAGUUAAACAGCACGUGAAAUUGUUAAAAGGGAAGCGUUUAUGACCAGACUUGGGCCGGUUAAUCAUCCAGCGUUCUCGCUGGUGCACUUUGCCGGUCCAGGCCAGCAUCAGUUCGCUGCGGGGGAUAAAGGCGUCGGGAAUGUGGCUCCUCGGAGUGUUAUAGCCCUUCGCGUAAUACCCUGUGGUGGACUGAGGUUCGCGCUCUGCAAGGAUGCUGGCGUAAUGGUCAUCAACGACCCGUC